GAGAUGGGAGAAAAUAAAGCCAAUGGAGGAUGCCUUGGCAGUUUGAGCCGAAGAAGGACGCGUGUUUAAGCGCGAAAACAACGAUGAGCCCUUCAGCAGGCGUUAUUAAUCGUUGGUUUCCGAAUGGGGGAACCCCUUCUUGAGAAAUCAAGGAGUCAGGUACCAUCUGGUACCUGAGGGAACCCAGGGAACUGAAACAUCUCAGUACCUGGUGGAAAAGAAAUCAUAUAAAAUCCUCAGUCGCAAGACAAAAGGAUGAGAUUCUGUAAGUAGCGGCGAGCGAAAGCAGAUCAGCCUAAACCCUGCCUUCGGGUGGGGAGUUGCGGAGCCACAUACGGGAGUAAUUUUGAUAGAAAAAUACCCUGGAAAGGGUAGCCAUAGAAAGUGAUAGCCUUGUAUUCCAAAUCAAAAUUACCCUAGUGGAUUUCCCAAGUACCACGAGUCACGGCAAACCUUGUGGGAAUCUGGGUCGGUCACGAUCCAAGGCUAAAUACUCAAACUGACCGAUAGUGAAUUAGUACUGCGAAGGAAAGGUGAAAAGUCCCCCGGAAGGGGAGUGAAAUAGAACCUGAAACCAUUGGCUAACAAUCAGACAGAGUCCCGCCUUUGGCGGGAUGAUGUCGUGCCUAUUGAAGAAUGAGCUAGCGAGUGUUCGAAUGCUGCAAGUUUAACCCCCAAAUAUUCGGGGGAAAGCGAAGCGAAAGCGAGUCUGAAUAGGGCGUCUAGCAGCUUUCGAACGGCCCGAAACCAGGUGAGCUAACCAUGAGCAGGAUGAAGCGCGUCGAGAGACGAGUGGAGGUCCGAACCCGUUGUCGGUGAAAUGGCAUGGGAGGACUUGUGGUUAGGGGUAAUAUGCCUAUCGAACCUGGAGAUAGCUGGUUCUCCCCGAGAUAUAUUUAGGUAUAGCCUUCCCAAGUACAGUGCGAGGUAGAGCUACUAGAUGGUUUUAGCAACCGCAAGGUUGUUAGAAUCAACUAAACUCCGAAUGCGCACCUUAAAAUUGGGAGGAGUCAGACCUAUCGGUAUAAGCUGAUAUGGUCGAGAGGGAAACAACCCAGAUUUUCGUCUAAGGUUCCAAAAUGCCUUUUAAGUGGUAAAGGCCGUUUUAUUUCCAAUACAGCAGGGAGGUUGGCUCAGAAGCAGCCAUCCUUUAAAGAGUGCGUAACAGCUCACCUGAAUAUGGGGUGCCGUCUGGUACCCCAGGAGAUAAUGCGCCAAAAAUGAACGGAGCUAAAAAGGUUACCGAAGACAGAACUCCAACUUUAUGUUGGGGGGUAGGGGAGCUUUCUUAAUGCAGUGAAGCUGUACUGUAAGGUAUGGUGGAGCGUUAAGAAGUGAGAAUGCUAGCAUAAGUAGUGUAUCUCCCGAUGAAAACUCGGGAUGCCGAAUGUUCAAGGUUUCCUCAGCAACGUCUAUCGUCUGAGGGUUAGUCGAAUCUAAGGAAGUGCCAUUUUUGGUACUACCGAUGUACAAGCAGUUAAUAUUCUGCUACCAAGAUGUAUACGUUAUUACUUUAUGAAUGACGAAAUUUGCUACUCAAAGCCUUCUAUAUGAGGGUUUAAGCUGUAAGCUGCAACGCAAGUUGCAGUAAGCUGCAAAUACAACUCCGAGCAAUCGGGGGAGUUUGAAGACGUAAGUUUCCGGGAAAAAUUUAUGAAGGAGUAUACAUUUUGUUCGUACCGAUAACCGACUCAGGUGAACUGGUCGAGAAGACUAAGGCAUACGGGUAAGGAUGGUUCAAGGAACUCGGCAAAAAAGCGAGCGUAAGUUUAUCGAUAAGCUCUGGAGGUACCACACGGUACCCCCCGCAGCAAACGUUUGUCAACCGACUGUUUAGCAAAAACACAGGUUCCUGCAAAUCUGCAUAAGAGAUGUAUAGGAGCUGAGGCCUGUCCGGUACUGGUAAGUUAAUCGUUGGGGUUGAUUAUGGCGAGCAAUCUCCAUACAAGGCUUCGACGCAAGCUCCAGUGAACGACAGCUCUAACCCUGAGAGUUCUAAGGUAGCGUAGCCCCUUGCCGGGUAAGUUCCGGCCCGCAUGAAAGGUUUAACGAGUUGACAACUGUCUUGAACCAUUGCCCGACGAAGUUGAAAUGGCUGUGAAGAUGCGGCCUACCUGCAUCCGGACAAAAAGACCCCGAGAGCUUUACUGAAACUUGACAUUGGUGAGAAGGAGGCAACUGUUGAGAGUAGGAGGGAGGGGGGUGCCAUACGGUACCCCCCGACGAUGAAACACCUCUCUUUGCCUUUUUUUCGCCUUACCCAGCCUUUGGCUGGGAACAGUGUUAGGCGGUCAGUUUAACUGGGGCGGUUCCCUCCAAAAGAGUAACGGAGGGGCGCAAAGGUCAGCUUCUUACGGAUGGAAAUCGUAAGUGAAGUGCAAACACAUAAGCUGGCUUAACUGCGAGACGUACAAGUCGAGCAGAUACGAAAGUAGGCGUUAGUGAUCCUCGAUUCCGCUGUGAUUGCGGAACGGGCUUAACGGAUAAAAGCUACCUCGGGGAUAACAGGCUGGUGACGCCCGAGAGUUCAUAUCGACGGCGUCGUUCGGCACCUCGAUGUCGGCUCAUCACAUCCUGGAGGCGAAGUAGCUUCCAAGGGUUGGGCUGUUCGCCCAUUAAAGUGGUACGCGAGCUGGGUUCAGAACGUAAAUUUCAUUGCGUUCUAUCGUAGUAAUACGAUAUACUAAAUCUGACUUAUAUCGGUGAAACCCUAAAAAAAGUGUGAACUGUUUUUUUUAGGGCAAUACCGAGGGAAGAUUAGUUUUAUGUCUAUAAAGGAGAAAUCAUAUGUCGCAGGAUUUCUUGAUGGAGAUGGUUGUAUUAUGGCGCAAUUGGUGCGUCGUAAAGAUUAUGCGCUGGGUUAUCAGAUUAGGACUAGCAUAGUUUUUUACCAAAAAAACAUCCAUAAAGAAAUUCUUUACUGGCUAAUGAAAAAAAUUAAAUACGGUUAUAUUCGAGAUAGAAAAGAUGGUAUGUUCGAAUAUACUAUUGUAGGUUUAAAAGAAACAUUAAAAAUUUUAAAUCUGCUUUUACCUUAUUUAAGGUUAAAGAAGAAAGUUGCCAAAACGGUUAUUAAAAUAAUCGAAAAUCAUCCUAAAAAACUUAAUAAAACGGCUUUAAUUCGUUUAAGUUACUUAGUCGAUGAAACGGCAAAUUAUAACUAUUCAAAAAGAAGAACUAUUAAUAGCCAAAUAAUUAUUGNNNNNNNNNNNNNNNNNNNNNNNNNNNNNNNNNNNNUGAAGAUAUAGUCCAUGCCAUUAGUAAUAGUGGAUAAACAUGCGUGAGACAGUUCGGACUCUAUCCGAUGCAGGCGCUUGGAUUUUUGAGAGGACUCUUCCUCAGUACGAGAGGACCAGGAAGAAGGAAUCCCUGGUGUAUGGGUUGUUCCACAAGAGCAUUGCCCAGUAGCUAAAUUCCUAUGUAAUAAGCACUGAAUGCAUCUCAAGUGCGAAGUAUACCUCAAGAUUAAAAAUCCCUAUCAGUCCGCCAGAAGAUGACUGGCUUAAUAGGCGUCAGAUGUAAGUACAGCAAUGUAUUUAGUCGAGACGUACUAACGGACGAUCUCCCAUCUCUU
rfam:Candidatus Roizmanbacteria bacterium RIFCSPLOWO2_02_FTLL_41_9 rifcsplowo2_02_scaffold_6677, whole genome shotgun sequence.